GGCGCCAUUUUCGAGUGAUGCCUGAUCUCAUCAAUCUAGCGGGAGAGACAGGAUAACCUGUCCGAGAGUAUAGCGCCACUAUGACUCCGCCGGAAAAAUUACUUUAAAAAUCGCCAAAAAUUACUUGGAGCAAAGGGCAGUCGGCGGAGCUUCGCCAAGGCUGGCGCAGUCGGUUUUGACCUGUAGCAGAGAACCAAUUCUGGAGAACAGCCUCACUUCUUUGAUUGAAUACUUACAUAAUGCAUUGGAACAUGACAUGAGAUUAAGGUUUAAUAAUGAUAGAAUGAAGACCACAAUAAAAGAGACCUCUACUUAGCUCAGCAAUUCUUACCUUGUGGAUAAUUACUGUACCUUCCUCAUGGAAAAAGUUUUAUUUAAAGUGUUAUUUCUCAUUGAAUACUAUCAAAAAGGAAAAAAAAAUGACCUAAACUUUUGAGAUAGAUUUGGCUCUAGUGUAAAUUUUGAUACCACCAUUGCCGCCUUCCCCUCAAAAAAGGUGAGAACUGACUAAACUACUGGUACUUAGACCAUGUGGAGAAGGAACUGAAAAUGGAAACAGAAACACGUCUGUACAGAGCAGAGUGUCAGAUAAUAGCUCAUUUUAGUAGAGGGCAAUAAAUGCCACAUGAGAUGAUCACCUCAGCAGAAAACUGUAAGUAACUGGGGACUUACAGGAGAAUUGAACAGUUGUUUCUGCUGACUCAGUAAAAAGUCUUCAUUUUAUAAUUUGUGGCCUGCAUGCUUGUAAAUUAAAAUGCAUUGAGUUGUCAA
rnacentral:lncRNA from 1 species